rnacentral:rRNA from 1 species
AGAUGGCGACCGGCGCACGGGUGAGUAACACGUAUCCAACCUGCCGAUAACUCGGGGAUAGCCUUUCGAAAGAAAGAUUAAUACCCGAUGGUAUAAUCAGACCGCAUGGUCUUGUUAUUAAAGAAUUUCGGUUAUCGAUGGGAAUGCGUUCCAUUAGGCAGUUGGUGAGGUAACGGCUCACCAAACCUUCGAUGGAUAGGGGUUCUGAGAGGAAGGUCCCCCACAUUGGAACUGAGACACGGUCCAA